rfam:Ornithorhynchus anatinus chromosome 7, whole genome shotgun sequence.
CUCCUCUCAGGAUCGCACCUGGAGAGUUUCCAGUACUUUACCAGUCUCCGCUACGGUAGGGAGAGUCAAGCAGAUGCAUACCCAUUCCUUUUCUAGCUUGGGCAGUGGCUAGUGAGUGGAAGGCAAUCUGCUACAAGU